rnacentral:lncRNA from 1 species
AUUAUUAGUUCCACUUUCAAGAUAAGACAAUGAGGCUUAGAAUGCUGCAGAGAUGAAUCCAAAGAUUGGUCAAUAGCAGAUCUAGACUUCAAAUCUAAACCUUUAACUUUAUUUAUUUAUUUGUGUUUAAUAUGUAUUAUUAAUUUUUUUAAAAUUAGAGCAUUAUAGUUACACAUUGUAAUUGGGUUCAUUUUGACAAAACCAUACAUACAAGGAAUUUGAUUUCAAUCUCCAUUUCACUACCUUUCCCUCCCCUCUUUCUUCCCCCUAUUCUCCUUCCUGAUCUACUGAUCUUCCUUUUGCUUGCUUAUUUAUUUAUUUAUGAUUGGUACUUCCUACAUAUACAUAAAGGUGAAAUACCCUUUGGUACACUAGUAUAUGCAUAUAACAUGGUUUUAUUAAAUUCAUUCCACAUUUUCUCCCUUUUCUCUUCCUUCCUCCCUCCUUGUUCUCCACUGAUCUUCCUUAAAUAUUUAUGAUAUCUGACCCCACCCUGACCAAUUUCUUUCCCUUAUUUUGCCCUCACUUUCAUAUAUGAGAGAAAACAUUGAAUUCUGAGUCUGGUUUAUUGCACUCAGCAUGUUAUUCUCCAUUUUCAUCCACUUACAGCAAAUGCCAUUAUUUCAUUCUUCUUUAUGGCUGAGUAAAGCUCCAUUUUAUAUGCAUACCACAUUUUCUUGAUCCAUUAAUCUAUUGAUGAGCAUCAGGGCUGAUUCCAUGAUUUGGCUAUUGUGAAUUGUGCCACUAUAAACAUUGAAGUGACUGUAUCAGCAUAGUAUUCUGAUUUUAGUUAUUUUGAAUAAAUACCAAGGAGUGGGAUAGCUGGGUCAUAUGGUAGUUUCAUUCCUAGCUUUCUGAGGAAUCUCUACACUGUUUAUACUAAUUUGCAGUCCACCAAUAAUGUAUUAGUUCACCUUUUCCCCCACAUCCUCACUAGCAUUUAAUAUUAUUUGUGUUUUGGGUAAUUGCCAUUCUGACUGGAGUGAGAUGAAAUCUUAGUGUAGUUUUGAUGUGCAUUUCCCUGAUUACUAGAGAUGUUGAAUUUUUUAACAUAUGUUUUUUUCAAUGCAAUCCUCAUCAAAAUACCAGUGACAUUCUUCACAGAACUAGGAAAAAACAGUCCUGAAAUUCAUUUGGAAAAACAAAAGACCCCAAAUGGCCAAAGCAAUUCUGAGCAAGAAAAGUGAUACAGGAGGCAUAAUAAUACCCGAUCUCAAAUUAUACCACAGAGCUAUAGCAGCAAAAACAUCAGCAUGGUAUUGACAUCAAAAUAGUCAUGAAGACCAAUAGAAUAGACUAGAAGACACAGAGACACACCCGUGGGCUGAUAGCCAUCUGAUACUUGACAAAGGUGCCCCAAAUGUAUGUUAUAGAUAAGAUAGCCUUUAAACAAAUGGUGCUGGGAAAACUAGAUAUUCAUAUGUAAAGAGUGAAAUUAUAUCCUUAUUUCUUAUAGUCUUCAAAAGUCAAAUCAAAAUGGAUCAAAAACUUUGGAGUUAGAAGAGAAACCUUGCAACUGCUAGAAGAAAACAAAGCAAACACUCUAUAGCAUAGGUGCAGAAAAUGACUUCCUCAAUAAACCUUUAACUUUAAAUUCAAUGAUAUUUCUGUCUUCAGAAAUAUUUCCCUUUGAAAAUAGUGUUUUCUUGAAUGUGAAAUAGGGUGAAUUGGAGAAUAGAUGACCUGGAAGAGUCAUGAACUGAGGUGAGCAAGCUUUUUGGGAUUCUGCAGAAUAAAUUCAAGCAAUGAUUAUGGCAUUAGAGUAACUAACCAUUCACACACUCACAUUCCUUCUAUUCUUGAUUCUAGAUACAUCAUGGAGCAAAUCUGUACUUAAUAGAAGAAAUGCUGGUCACGAGAUUGAGUUAAAAAGCUUAUCAUUGUUUGUAUCAUGUUUUAGUACAAUAGGUCAAAUUGUCUUAUUUGUUCUAGGG